AGAGUUUGAUCAUGGCUCAGGAUGAACGCUAGCGGCAGGCCUAAUACAUGCAAGACGAGCGGUAAUUUGAGUAGCAAUACUUAGACUAGAGCGUCGUAAGGGUGCGUAACACGUAUGCAAUCUGCCCGGAACAGGAGGAUAGCUCGGGGAAACUCGAAUUAACACUCCAUAAGACAGUGGUGUGGCAUCACACAGCUGUUAAAACUGAGGUGGUUCCGGAUGAGCAUGCGGAUGAUUAGCUAGUUGGCGGUGUAACGGACCACCAAGGCGAUGAUCAAUAGGGGAACUGAGAGGUUGAUCCCCCACACUGGCACUGAGAUACGGGCCAGACUCCUACGGGAGGCAGCAGUAGGGAAUAUUGGACAAUGGGUGCAAGCCUGAUCCAGCCAUGCCGCGUGCAGGAAGAAGGCUUUCUGAGUUGUAAACUGCUUUUGCCAGGGGAUAAAAAGGCGAUGCGUCGCAAAUUGAAGGUACCUGGUGAAUAAGCCACGGCUAACUACGUGCCAGCCGCCGCGGUAAUAC
rnacentral:rRNA from 1 species